rnacentral:rRNA from 1 species
UACGGAGGGGGCUAGCGUUGUUCGGAAUUACUGGGCGUAAAGCGCACGUAGGCGGCUUUGUAAGUUAGAGGUGAAAGCCCGGAGCUCAACUCCGGAAUUGCCUUUAAGACUGCAUCGCUAGAACGUCGGAGAGGUGAGUGGAAUUCCGAGUGUAGAGGUGAAAUUCGUAGAUAUUCGGAAGAACACCAGUGGCGAAGGCGGCUCACUGGCCCGGUACUGACGCUGAGGUGCGAAAGCGUGGGGAGCAAACAGG